GAGUGUGUCACCACCAGGCAUGCGAGGGCGCGGAGCAUGGUGUCAGUGAGGGGAGGAGAGCACAGAAAUAAGAGAGGCCGGAGAUGCUGUUUUGAUGAGCUCACAGAUUUGCUCAUGACUGGCCCUGGAACCUCACUAGGAGACGACUGGGUUUAGAACCUGGACUGAAAGGAUCAAGAAAGCAAAGUAAAUUGUCCACGGCAUGGAGGCUGGAGCUGUGCAACUUGGAUCCAAAUCUCUAUUCGGUUGUCUGUUGACUGUGUGACUUGGGAAGUCCUUCUGUAAAGAAGAGUUGAAGGCUGCAGCCCACGCUUCCUCAACAUGAGGCAUGCUUGCCAGCUCCGUCUUGUCAGUUAUCUCUUGGUGGACGAUGGGAGGAGGGAAGUGGCUCUCAAGAGACAACUCAAAUGGUGCUUUA